GAUGAACGCUGGCGGCGUGCCUAAUACAUGCAAGUCGAACGAACAGACCAAGCGCUUUCUCCUCUGACGUUAGCGGCGGACGGGUGACUCACACGUGACUAACCCACCUAUAAGACUUAGAUCACUUCGGGAAACCGGAGCAAAUACCAGAUAAUAUAUUGAACCGGAUGGUUCAAUAGUGAUAUACGGUUUUGCUGUCACUUAUCGGUGGAUCAGCGCGGCAUUAGCUAGUUGGUACGGUAACGGCUUACCAAGGCAACGAUGCGUAGCCGACCUGAGAGAGUGAUAGGCCGCCUUGGAACUGAGACGCGGUCCAGACUCCUACGGGAGGCAGCAGUAGGGAAUCUUACGCAAUAGGCGAAAGCCUGGCGGAGCGACGCCGAGUGAGUGAUGAAGGUCUUCGGAUCGUAAAACUCUGUUAUUAGGGAAGAACAAAUGUGUAAGUAAAUAUGCACGUCUUGACGGUACCUAAUCAGAAAGCCCCGGCUAACUACGUG
rnacentral:rRNA from 1 species